UAAGAAUUAGUUAAACAAUAUAUAACAUUAAAUUGUCAAUUUAAAAUAAUUUAAUUAUAAUUAAAUAUUCUUAA
rnacentral:tRNA from 1 species